UCAGAAUUCCCAUAAUCGGAUUAUUAUACGAACUGUGCACCGGACGUACAAUGCCCCUUUCCUUUAAAUUCUGAAUGAUGUCUUGUAGACCAUCAUAUGAAGCCAAUAGGAGUCUAUAUUGUUUGAUUAAUACAGUUGGUAAAUUUGGAUCCGUUUGUAUUCUGGCUACGUGGAGGUUAGUUAACCCACAGUCGUAGGAAUCUUUGGCAAAAAUAUCUUGGAAUUCCAUAAGGAUUUCCCUUAGCUGUUGCCACUCAGCAUCGUUGGAGCAACCGUCCGCUAAAGAUAUUUGCUCUUCAAGCCUCUUCUGAAACCCAGGAAAGAUUUCAGGCUGGUCCAUCUCAUGAGCUUCUUCAAGCCUAGA